UACGAAGGGGGCUAGCGUUGCUCGGGAUCACUGGGCGUAAAGCGCACGUAGGCGGAUUGCUAAGUCAGGGGUGAAAUCCUGGAGCUCAACUCCAGAACUGCCUUUGAUACUGGCGAUCUCGAGUCCGGGAGAGGUGAGUGGAACUGCGAGUGUAGAGGUGAAAUUCGUAGAUAUUCGCAAGAACACCAGUGGCGAAGGCGGCUCACUGGCCCGGUACUGACGCUGAGGUGCGAAAGCGUGGGGAGCAAACAGG
rnacentral:rRNA from 1 species